rnacentral:lncRNA from 1 species
GAGAUUGUCGCAUGUAUUCAAGAUGUGGAUCGACUUACUUAGGGGCUAUCAAACGCUACACCGUGACAGGGUAGUUAAAAAGGUAGUUUUCGGGUUUGUCAAGAAGCAUGUUGUGAGACAUGGUCAAUCAAGAUGGGAUUUUGCCCCUCUCUGAUUGAGAGUGAUAUCUCUGGGCCCCUUGAGUGAUUGGAUCCGGAAAUGCAUGGCCAUGCUACAUACGGUUAAGAGUUAACCUACAAAGGGAUUCCGAAUCACAGGAUCGAGAAAGAGCGGUCGGCUUGGAGCUAGACCAAAUAUCAUGAGGCAA